rnacentral:tRNA from 1 species
AACCUAUUAGCUCAACUGGAAGAGUAUUGUGCAAAUGCGUAAAGAUGUGGGUUCGAUCCCAUGUAGGUUA